CCUGGCUCCAACAUCCCAGGGAAUUGUGUCACUCCCAUUGAGCAGCUGUGGGGCCCUCUCCCACAUGGCCCAGGUCCACCACUCUGUCAAAGGUCGCACAGCCCAGACAAAAACAGGACACAGCAGUGUGUGAAUGAGCCGGGCUUUCUCCUUCCCUCCACGUAAUAGAAGGUGCCUGAGGUUGUUGAAACACAGUCCAUUUCUCCUGGGAAUGACAAGAAUUUGAGGGAUGCUGACUUUCAAGGAAUACUGCAUGACAGGCAUCAAGAUAAACCUGAUGAAGAAAACAUAGGCCAGAAUCUGGGAAUCGGGAGCAAAGUAAUACAGCUUCGGGGACAGGCACGUAAUGAGGUCAUGAUGUAGGAGACUCCCUGCAGGACUGGCGGCCCCUGUUCCCUGGGUUGUUCUGGCUCUUUCAGAACCUGACCCUGGAACAGGACUGAGCAGGUGCCUGUGUGCACAGAAGACCUUGUGUGAGUCCUUUGGUACCACGUUUGCUGCACGAAUGUCUGAGACACCUCACAGUCGCUUGGUUCAGCCUCUCCCUCCUCUCUCCGCUGGGGAACAUCAUCCCUCAUCACUGGAAGAAAUUACAAGGAUUGUGUAAACAAUUACAAGUAUUCUACAAACAGUGAGCAUGCUGGUUUGGCCCAUCUAUUUGUAAGAAAAAACAUGGGGUUUUAUGGCAAUGAGUUACAGCUCUGAACUCCUGGCACAAUCACAAAUAUCCUCAGCACAAAACACCAAGUAUUUAUAUGUUAACAAGCUGAAUUCCUGCUUCAUCUGGAGGACUGCACAGUGUAUCUGAGAGAGGAUUUUCAGGAGGCCAGAAAAUCAAGCUGGAGGGAUUUUCAGCGUGUUGGGAGAUUGCUACCUGUUUUAAGUCAGGCCAUUGCCACGUCUUUUUCCCCACCUUGGAGACUUCAGCUGUUUUCCUUCACUAAUAUUUCCAAAACACACAACAACAGUUGGCAUCGCUCGCAUAUAAACAGCUCUUCCAUGUCACUGAGAAAACGAGCAAGAUCCAGGGAGGAAAAAUGGAUACAGGAUAUAAAUAGAAAAUCCUCAAAACAGGAAUUUCAAAAUGUCAACAAACAGGCAAAACUUUCUUUCAACAGCGCUAUUAUGACUGGUAUGUUUCACUUGCUUUUUUUUUUUUUUUCUUUUUCUCCAGCAAAUUGCUCAAAUGUCGGUGUGCUCUCAUGAACAGAAACGAUGGCACGGUGGGUCCUGGUCUCAAGACUUCCUCUCAAUGAUUCAGAGGUCUUGGGGGUUUUUUGUCUGAAUAUCAGGCAAAGAGGAAGGACGGCUACAAUGGAGGAGUCUCCUACCACGCUUGUGGUCGUCACUGUAGUGCUCAGUUGAAUGGUGUGUCCAUUGGGGUUGGAGUCCCCAUCCUGUUCUGGGUCCUGGCCCCCCACAGGCUCCAGGGACAUAACCCUUCCAGUUCAGGAUCAUGUGCUGGGGCACUGUUCCCUGAGGUGGGACUCUGGGCUGUAACAGCUGCUUUUGAAGCAUGUUCCAGCUUCAACCACGUGCUUGGACGACACCAGCUCUUCCCACAUACUCUUCCCCAGCUCUUGUGUUGAGUUUGGCUUCCACCUUCCUCCAGCUGGGUCUCGCUAUGUUGCCCAAGCCAUUCUGGAGCUCCUGCGCUUAAGUGAUCCUCCUGCCUCAGCCUCCCAAGUAACUGGAAUUAUAAAUGUGAGCCACUGUGCCCAGCAAUUACAAAAUUUUUGGAAUGCAAUUGGGAAGUACAGCUGAAAAACUUCAGCAACGUGGGCUGUUUGAUUGUACAAUCGCACUUCUUGGAAUUUAUCCUACAGAAAUCAGUAGUCAAGUUCACAAAAACUGACAAUAGCCAUUACAGAGAAGCAGAAGAAAGGGAAAUAAAAACAUUCAAACCUACCAACAGGAGAUUGGACAAAUAAAUCAUGUUAUAACUAUACAAUGGGCUAUUAUGUAACCAUUAAAAUGAUCAUCUAUUCUAGAUCUAUACUUAUUGCAAUAUAAUAAUAACCAUAAUAUAUAGUUAUUUGAUAAAAGAAGGUAGCACAUGUGAGGUAGUACAUCUCAUUUCUAUUAGAAAAAACUACACACAAACACAAACAUCGAAGAAAGGGAUCUGGGAAGA
rnacentral:lncRNA from 1 species